rnacentral:misc_RNA from 1 species
GUAGGUGAACCUGCGGAGGGAUCAUUCACAUGAUUACCUUUUCAACAAACUGUGAACCUUUUAAUCUAUUCGUGUGUGUUGUUUGAUCUUCGGAUCAUUCUCGACAUCACACUGUCAUUCGAUGAACAUUAGAUAGCUGGCUUGAUUUUCGAAUCUUUCUCAGCUGAUUGUUUUUGAAUUUAAUUACUCGAUACAAUCAACCAACAAACAUAGAAACAACUCUAUGCCCUGGAUAUCUUGGUUCUC